GCCUCCUUAGCUCAGUGGUAGAGCGCGUCACUUGUAAUGACGAGGUCAGUCGUUCAACCGGCUAGGUGGCA